UACAGAGGGUGCGAGCGCUAAUCGGAGUUACUGGGCGUAAAGGGCGCGUAGGCGGUUUAAUAAGUGAGAUGUGAAAUCCCUGGGCUUAACCUAGGAACUGCAUCUCAUACUGUUAGGCUAGAGUAUUGUAGAGGGUAGUGGAAUUUCCGGUGUAGCGGUGAAAUGCGUAGAGAUCGGAAGGAACACCAGUGGCGAAGGCGGCUACCUGGACAAAUACUGACGCUGAGGUACGAAAGCGUGGGGAGCAAACAGG
rnacentral:rRNA from 1 species